UUUUUGUUUGUUCGUUUCUGUCAGUUUAUUAUUAGUAUUCCCUGUGGUUUCUGUGUUCGGGUUUUGGACUUCCUGUUCUUUGGUCUCUCUACUUUUGGAGCUGCUGCUUGCUGACGUGAUAGCUGAGCUUUCAGAUGAUGAAUCGCAUGAGCCACAGGAGUCUUGUACAGUGGAACUUGAGGAGGCAGGAUCAAGGGAUGGCUCUGAGCAGUGGAGUUGAGAGUACAAAAGUCCUCAAAAUCUGGAUCUAAAUACUGCAGGCUGAAGACGACUGGGAUACUUAAUGUCUGCUUGAUGGCAAAGUUCAGCUCCUCCAUAGUCUCUGGUAUUCCAGAUGGAAGAGUCAGUUUCCCUAUUCUAUGACCAAAUGACCCGGAGCAUUGCUGAAUCCAUGUCAGGUGGACUAGUGAGAAGAAAAUAAUCUUUAAAAAAAUAAAUGUUAUACCUCCA